rnacentral:sRNA from 1 species
AAUUAGCCCAGAGUGAAAUGAAAAGCCUUUUGUGAAAAAAACUAUAUUUUUUUGUAGAUACAGAACGACUCCCGAAGUAUCGGGAUAAACUUCUGAAGCUCCUGUAACUACUUUAAAAAUAUGUUUUUUGAAUAAAAGCUUGAAAUGGAAAGCUGGAUUAGCU